rnacentral:lncRNA from 1 species
GAAUCGAACUCUGAAUGUGCUACAGCCACGAAACCACUCUAUCGCGCUGGACUACAGGAGCUUCUGAAGCGCGCGGAAGUGGAGCACGGAGAACAUAACGCACGCAUGCUCAUCUAUGAUGUUGCUCAGAUUAUUGCAAUCGAUUUUCAUUACUGAACUCGGAGACAAACACACUUCACAAUAUAUGCCUACUCUAUUUCUCCGGAGCUAAAAUCCUGUCAUGAGCAGUAGUUUACACAUUUUCUAAAUAGAGACGCAUAAAUAGGACACAACGUGAGGAAGACUAGGCAGCCAAGCCAACCGUGAGUGAGACAACAUUUGGUCACAAUUUCAAAAUUCAAACAUUCGAACUCGAAAAGGGGGCAGGGUACGUUUUCUGAACCCGUCCAAAACGAUGGAGUUACAUAACUUCAGAAAACAACGCCAGUUUGUGGGCAAGGCAAGCCCACUCGAUGCUAAUCAACCAAGGGGCACACACACCCCUCUAUCGUCAACGCCCCCUCCACGAUCUCCCUCCCCGAUAGGUCCAGGCAGAGAUGAAAAAAACAACAACAAGGGCUUUAAAAACAUCCACAUUGUUCCGUCCAUCAGUAACAUCUGGUCAUCCAACCGGGGUACUGUGGCUACAUUCUCCUGUUUUCCGGCGCAUUUUUUAUUCUCCUCCAUCUCCGGGGAGGACAGAAAUCAAAGUUUAUAGUUUUUUCUUGCGUGAACCCACAACGCGAACAUGCCCAGCAAGAGGAAGAAGAACAAGCGCCGCAUGAGAAGGGUGGCCAUACCCAUUCCUGAGGCCCCUGUGUCAGCUCUUGCUGAAUUUAAGGUCCAGGUCGAAAACUACGUAGCCAUUACCACAGAGAUCGCACAGACUCAUGACGAGCCGUGGCUCGAGGCUGAAGUGGAGGCUGAAAUAGUUGACGAGGUCCAAGCGAAAGUAGAGGCAGUAGUUGAGGAAGAACCAGAGCCCGAUCCCGUGGUCAAGGCCGAAGCUGCCCCAGUUGUAGAAGCUGAACUUGAAGAGUCGGGAAUCAAAGACGGAGACAAUCCUAUCGUCAAAGCUGAAGCCAUUCCUGAAGAUAUUGAUGUAGAAAAGCAUGAGACUGUUAUGACAGAGGCACCUGAAGAGGUUCCAGUGGAGACAGAAAUUAUCCCAGAAAAGCUGUGGAAGCCCGUGGAAGCACCGGUCGAAGAAGCCCCCGUAGCCGAGGUCGCUCCAGCAGAGCUCCUUGUAGAGGCCCCAGUAGACCCUGUCAUCAACAUAAUGGCUGACUUUGCCAUCACAGAAUCUGUUCCCGUUGCGGAGGCAGCCAUGGCUGAACAGGUGCCCGCAGUCCCAACGGAUUCACUUGACGCCCUAUCGGAGUUGCUGAACGACGUCACUCUAGUCACUGAGCCCGCCCCUGUCACAGCUGAUAAAGUCAUUGACGUGAGUCUCCUACAUUUCUCUAUGCAGAGAUGCUUUAGUAGAGCAGAUGUGACACACAAAACACACUCCUGUAACUCUGUUGUCUGGUUGGUCUCAGGAGCCAGAGUGUGAGGAGAAAGAGGUGAGAGAUGACAUACUUCCACCCGAUUACAGGACCUGCUGGUCAGAGUUGAAUCAUAAUAACCUAAACUUCUCAUCCACUCAGUAAUUUUGAAUUCAACCAACUUUACUCAAUCACCUUGCUAUAUAAUAAGCCUUAACAUAAUCAAACACUUGGGUGUAGGCUAUCCUCUCAUAACUUGCCUCAUUUUAAAUGCUCUUGCACAUUUUGGAAUGUGGCAUUCCUCCCCUCUCUACCAUCUGUGGAUCGAUCCUCCCUCGACUCUCUCCUUGUGGUCUUCCUUUUUACAUUCUGUUCUUUCCCUUGGUUGUGGGCUGCUCCAGCUUGUUUUGUUGCGUUGGGCACGCCAAAUACUGUAGUGGGACUACUGGCUUAUUUUUUACUACUCUGGAUAUUGAUUAAUUAGGAUCCCCAUUAGCGACAGCUAACCUUACUGGGGUCCGACACAACUAAAAAUACAUUAGACCAAAAAAAUACUUUACAAUUGUUACACACGCCUCUUGGAAGAGGGAACGCAACACCCAACUCCCCGUGGAGUGAAAGAGGUAUGGGAUUGCAGGUGUGGAUAAGGAUGACAAAGGCAGAGAAUUUUACCGUUAACAGGGAAUUUAUUUCUUCACGCGGUAAUUCUGGGAAAAAAGGGGCUGGACGGAACCAAAGCAAAGAAAGUAAAAGUUAAAAGAGCCCCCUCUCCUACCUUACAUACCCACAACUUAUCUAUUAACGCCAUCUGGCGUGCUAACCAAAAUACAGGGGGUGUUCCACCCAGGUCUUAGCUAGUGUGUAUAGACAGAGUACAUACUACGGGUAUAUGUAUGCCCGCAGGCCUCUUGCCUAAGCACUCCCAAGGUGCGGUCCCCUUCCCCCCUGGGAACAAAUAAAACAGAAUAAUACAAACAAAUUCAAUAAUCAAAACAGUCCUUUUGACAUAAACAUACCGCCGCAGGACCAGCUACAAAAUACUUUACAAAAAGUGUCUGAGCAACAACCAACAGAACCUCAAAGAAGCUCUCCCUGAGCAACAAACAAUACUGUGGCAUACCCAGAAGCUAUUUCCUCCUAACAAAGGAACUCUGGCUUUUAAGCUGCAGAAGGAGUCUAAUUGAAGACAGCUGUAUCCUUUGACGAGAGGGCGGGGUCAGAGCUCCAAUUAUCGAUGGGGCCGACCAAUCAGCUGCUUAGGACUUCAGGAAGCCAUUUCCUAAAAUACACACACAGACACAUAAAAAUCCACAACAACACAGAAACUGGGGAACGUACCACAAUUUACAUACAUUUAAAAACAUGUAAUGUGUGUGCAUCUAUCAGUUACACAUGUCAGUACAUACACACAAGUAGGUCACAUGGGGUAAGAAGCAUUGUUGGGAAAGAGCUUGCAAGAAAGGCACUUCACUGUACUUGUGCACGUCACAACUUGAAACUUAGUGGGGCGCUCAACAACAUUGACUGUCUGCGUUUCCUUUCACAGGCUAAAGAGGAAAUUGAAGCCCAGAUGGAAAUCGAGGCUAAAAAGGAUGCCAUAGAUGAGAAGACGGUCCUUGACGUCAUCUCUGGAGAUUUAUCUGCCCCCGACUCUGUCAUCUCAGAACUGCAGUGUCACACGCAGCUCGCCGCCCCCAAGGAUAUCCCAGCAGAGGCCGUGCUGAAUGGACAGAUGGCAGCUGAGGUGGCCAUUGAGGGAUAGAUCUCUAUGGGUGACGACUUGUUUAAUCUCACUAAACACUGCGUUUGAAUGCAUAAGGUCUGGAUUGGCAUUAACAUUCUGUUAUUGUUCCUGUCUCCCCACAGAUUUCCUCAGUCAGUAUGAAGGACUGAAGAGAGCCUGACGGUGAGCCGACCAGCGAACUUUACUUUUCAUUUUUUAGGGCUUAAAGGGACCGCUGGGAAAUUUGACAGACAUCCAACAAUCAGUGCCUUUCUUGCUUGGGUUCUUACAAAAAAAAUAUUAAACAAGUUUAAAAUGCGAUAUGAAGGUGGGGGAAUAAGACUCUUUUUUUAAAACCAGAAUGUGACAAUUUGGAAUAAACAAAUGAUGGCUUUCAUAGAUUUCUGUAUCCCAUUGCAUGUAUUGUAGAUUUGCAUCAAUUGUAAAUGGCAUGCAUUGUGUAUGAAUACUGUAGAAUUGAUGAAUGUGGCAAUGGCUUGUCUUCACAUUUGGACCAUGUUUGUAUGGAUGAGAGGGAUUAAUUCCUUGUACACGUUUCCUGUUUUAACCUGGUUUGACUCCUUUUUGCGAAGGGACAGUAUCGCAGUUUGUACAGUACCAUAGCUACCCCCUCUUCUCCCUAUCACCAUUGUGGUACUUUUGUUUUUUCAGGGACUGUAUGAUGACAGCUCCACCCUCUUUAUUGUGUAGUGUCAGUGUGUCUACAGUCCCAAGUCUGUCCUGGGCAAUGUGAAAUGGUGUGUAGUUUUAGGUCCUCUGACCAGAUGCUCUUAACAUUUAAUUACCUACGCUGCCAACUGAAAACAGAGUACGGGGCCUGUAGAUCCUGUUUUUCUUUUCUAAUUCUGUUUUCAUAGACCAUAUGAUGUGGUACAACCGCUGUUUGUGUUCUGUUACGUGCUUUGGAAGAGACAAUGGAGUUGUCAUGUAAUUGAGGAGCUGGGUUGGAUUUCAUUCACCUUUUUGAAUAAAGAUGUUCCUCACCAAGUCCUUGAUUCAGUUGUUGGCCUGUGUUCUACAUUCCUUAGUAAUCAUGUUUUUGUUUGU